AAUAGAUACCCAGGUAGUCCUGGCCCUAAACGAUGAGUGCUUGGUGUGGCGGGUAUCGAUCCCUGCCGUGCCGAAGCUAACGCAUUAAGCACUCCGCCUGGGGAGUACGGUCGCAAGGCUGAAACUCGAAAGGAAUUGACGGGGGCCCGCACAAGCGGUGGAGCAUGUGGUUUAAUUCGACGCAACGCGAAGAACCUUACCCAGGCUCGAAAUGCAGACGAUCGCCGGUGAAAGUCGGUUCCCGCAAGGGCGUCUGUAUAGGUGCUGCAUGGCUGUCGUCAGCUCGUGUCGUGAGAUGUUGGGUUAAGUCCCGCAACGAGCGCAACCCUUGUCUUCUGUUGCCAUCAGGUCAAGCUGGGCACUCUGGAGAAACUGCCGGUGACAAACCGGAGGAAGGUGGGGAUGACGUCAAGUCAGCAUGGCCUUUAUGUCUGGGGCUACACGCGUGCUACAAUGGCCGGUACAAACCGUUGCAAACUCGCGAGGGUGAGCUAAUCGGAGAAAGCCGGUCUCAGUUCGGAUUGUAGG
rnacentral:rRNA from 1 species